rnacentral:rRNA from 1 species
CCUACGGGUGGCAGCAGGGAGGAAUAGGGGGCAAUGGCCGGAAGGCGGAACCAGCCAAGGCGCGGGAAGGAAGAAGGAUCUAUGGUUUGUAAACUUCUUUUAUAGGGGAAUAAAGGUAUCCACGUGUGGAUUUUUGCAUGUACCCUAUGAAUAAGCAUCGGCUAACUCCGUGCCAGCAGCCGCGGUAAUACGGAGGAUGCGAGCGUUAUCCGGAUUUAUUGGGUUUAAAGGGUGCGUAGGUUGUUUUUUAAGUCAGCGGUGAAAGUUUGUGGCUCAACCGUAAAAUUGCCGUUGAAACUGGAAGACUUGAGUGUGUUUGAGGUAGGCGGAAUGCGUGGUGUAGCGGUGAAAUGCAUAGAUAUCACGCAGAACUCCGAUUGCGAAGGCAGCUUACUAAGCCAUAACUGACACUGAAGCACGAAAGCGUGGGGAUCAAACAGGAUUAGAUACCCUAGUAGUC